AACGAACGCUGGCGGCAUGCCUAACACAUGCAAGUCGAACGAGACCUUAGGGUAUAGUGGCGCACGGGUGCGUAACGCGUGGGAACCUGCCCUUAGGCUCGGAAUAACUCCCCGAAAGGGGUGCUAAUACCGGAUAAUGUCUUCGGACCAAAGAUUUAUCGCCUUUGGAUGGGCCCGCGUUGGAUUAGCUAGUUGGUAGGGUAAAAGCCUACCAAGGCGACGAUCCAUAGCUGGUCUGAGAGGAUGAUCAGCCACACUGGGACUGAGACACGGCCCAGACUCCUACGGGAGGCAGCAGUGGGGGAUAUUGGACAAUGGGCGAAAGCCUGAUCCAGCAAUGCCGCGUGAGUGAUGAAGGCCUUAGGGUUGUAAAGCUCUUUUACCCGGGAUGAUAAUGACAGUACCGGGAGAAUAAGCUCCGGCUAGCUCCGUG
rnacentral:rRNA from 1 species